rnacentral:lncRNA from 1 species
UUCAAAUUUCAUUCAGGUUGAGAUCAGAUGCUUGGAGUUCAUGUCCAUCAUAACAAGAAUAACAUUUUCUUCAAAGGUUCAGAACUUGAUUACAGAGGAUAAUAGUAACUCCUGCAUGUCAUGGGCUCAUGGCGACCAUGAUAUAGACUAGACUACCACUUCAGUGCUGAUGGCUCCAUGUUUCAACCGAAAAUGUCAUGCCCGGUGCUUCUAAACUUGUUGAAAGCAAAAAAUGUCUGCACCAACACAAAUGGCUGCUCCAGGAACAAAUGUCUGCACCAACACGAAAGAGAGAUGCCCUGAGUUUUGUCAGUCACACAAACCAAUCCCCUCCUGUUGGAAAAAAUGUGGUUGCAGAAGCCACUACUGGACUCAAAAUGUUUACCCAUAUAUGCCUUAACAAGUACAUAAAAUAGUACAAAUAUAUUUGGCCAUACAUGGUCACAGUAUUGUCUCAGCCUGAAUUAAAUUUUAACAACUUGAUAUUUUAGAGCAACUCCAAACACCUAAAUCCAAAACGAAGAGAACAUAUUCUAUUCUAUUCCUCGACAACCUUCAAAAAAAUUAAGACUGAAGAAAGGACACCAAAGAGGUGCCACUAACUUGUGCAACAUCAGAAAAAAGGUAGACUAAUAAAUAUAACAGCUUGCUACCAAAUUGGACAAUUGUUAAUUUUCUAAAGAGCCAACUAAUAAACAUAAACAAACAUAAUAGUAGACUAAUAAAUUGCUUAUAUAUAACGAUGAUCAAGAUUAUAUUUUUACAUGUUAUUGGUUCCAAAUUUAUAGCUGCAUCCUUACUGUCCAUCUCCUGCAAAUGAAAUAAAAUAUUAAUUUAAAGGCAUAUCAACACUUCUAUACUACAUGUUUUAUAUAUCACAUUCUACACAAGUAGUAGAACCAAAAUGUAAGCGAUUAACUCACCCUCCUUUGGUUUGAACAACCAAUCUUUAGCACAAACAAGCGCUUCUAGCAUAUCAGGGG